GGCUCCGAAAGGGCCCGUUUGCUUCUUUUCCCACCUGAUUGGCAAAAUAAAUAAAUAAAUGAAUACAUAAAAACAGGUUUGGGGGCCGAGCCAGGAGGGGGCUUUUCUGGAUUGCUGACGACAUGUGUGUGACACACGAGUGUGCAGCACGCAGCCGCCUGUGCGGUGGCUGUAAACAUGUUUACCUGCGCAGGGAAGGGAUGGGAGACUCCGUGAUGGGAAUCUCACCCUCGUGAGGAACUGUCAACAGAUGACUUAGGUGAUGAGAAAAGCCAUCCGGGAAGGGACUCGGAAUCAACAGGGAAAAAAAAGAGGUCCUUGGUCGCUGCAGCAAAUGGCAACUUGUGCAGGUAGAAAAAAAAAAAAAAGAUGGUGUGUAGUUUUCUCCUGCAUGCGUGUCUGCCCUCCCCUGUCUGCAGCUCUCCUUCUCCAGGGAGGGAUUUAUUGACCUGGCUUGCUGUCAGUGUUUUCCCUUUGUGUUUUCAUGUGAGAAAAAACAGAUUUGGGGCUGUCAAGCCCAGAAACGUCUCUCCUGCAGUGUGCAUUACUCUCAGAAAACAAAAGGUGUUUCCGAGAGAGCCCUGUGCUACUCCAGGUAUCUUCCAUUUUCAUCACUUUUGGCUCUGUCCUUGUAUUCCUGCUUUCCUCACAGAUGCGGUUCGUUCGUUCAUUCGUUGCUGACCAGUACAGCCAUGUUAUUUGAUUUCACCUUGUAUUUUGCGAAUUAAAAAAAAAAAAAAAAAAACGAACUUCUAUGCCAUUGUGUUGUGAAACCUCGGGCUAGGUGCCGGUUGAUCAUUCUUGGUAAUGCAGUCAUAUUUAAGUUGCAGACGGAUAUUGAGAAGGAUUACCUGGGGGUGGGGAGUGCGGUGCUAAGCCAUAGGUCCUUUGGAUGAGGAGAGAAGUGAGGUAUAUUCUGGGAGAUGGUCUCACACAGAUACUUUGUUAUUUUUAUGUAAAGAGCAGUUUAUUCAUUGUGAAAUAAAGCAUGCAGAUUUUACUGCUAAGCCUUCAGUAAAACAUUUUCAUUUCCUUUCUGCAAUAUAUCUGCAGGCUAGCAUAUUUACAGGGGAGUAUCAGGUAACAGAAACUCGACAAGGAUACGUCAAUUGAAAUACCACCAAAAGGUUGGGCCGAAGCGUCAGCCCUUGCGUGGGGCGCCUUGAUGGGAGUGAUGUCAGUCAUCUACAAAGGGGAGACCGUAGAGCAACUUAAACCGAUUGUUGCCAGUUAUAAUUAUAAUUGACUGCUUUGCUGCAUUUUGAAAAUCCAUCUCUUCUCAUUUUCCACUUUCCUGUGUAAUGUGUUUUUCUCAUUGUUCUUCCUCUGGAGGGGGGCAGGAGGGGGUGAUCCACUCUAGCCACUACAGGUUAUGCCACAUGCUGAUUAAUUCUCUUGACUUGUCCUGGAAUAUAGCAGGUACAUAUCUUUUUGUCACUAGCACCAUUUUGCCUUGCUGUCUUUGCAAACCACCAGUAGAGGAUGCUAACAAAAAUGGUUAUUGGUGUAGCACCAUACUAAGUGUCUGUGUGUGUGUGUGUGUGUGUGUGUGUGUGUGUGUGUGUGUAUGUCUCACCCUCUCCCCACCUGUGCCUUACCCUGUUCCCACAUCCCUUCUGUGUUGGCUGGGACCUACAGAUUAUUUCUUAGUCUUUUAUUGUCAUGUAGAAGUAACCCUAGGUGAAUUAGGCAUGAGCUUUUUCUAGUUUGCUGAGACUAGAAAUAAGAAUAUUUUAGUUUGAGUAAUUUGGUUGGUUUGAACUUUGUCUUGAAUUGAGAUUGUUACUGAUUCAUUCUUGCUUUAGACAAUUACAUCCCCCCUUUUUAAAAACGUGUAUGUGUGUUUAGAUUUGGGGUAGAAUAAAUGAUGACGUUAAUUUUGUGCUUUUAUUAUACUUUUACAUACCCUUUUUAUUCAUAGUAGCAUCCCUGAAACAUUUAGAUUUAAAAACAUACAUGGUUAAGUGUGGUUAAUUGGUCAAUUAUACUUUGCAAGUACUUUCGAUAAUUAGUAUGUAGACAAUACUAUAGAUGGGUUGGAAUACAACUGUUAAAACGUCAAGCAACUAGCAGCCGCUCAGAUGCUAGUGAUUUUUAGAUUUUAGUUUUUCUUUCCCAUUUAAGUCUUUUUCCUGCCAGUGGCCCUCCCUGUCCUCUCAGUUCAGAGUCAAGUAUAUAAAUUUAAAUUUCCCAUGUCUAAGUUAUGGAAUAGAAUUCUGUUUGCUUCAGGAUUUUUUUAAUGCAGUGAAAAGCUGCUAUGAUUUAUUGCUUGUGUGCUUGCUUUCAAAGAAAGCCCAAGUUCCACUAGCUCUGUCUACACUUGAAAUUAUAUGAAUUUUGUAUAAAAAUAAUGUGCACUGGGCUCAGUGUGUUUAGUGAUGUCUUUUUAUCUACUGUGCAUGUAAUUAUGUUAACAUGACUACAAACUUUAAGACUUUCAUUGGAUUGAAGUUUAGAAAUACUUAUUUCUCUAAUUACUUUCAAGCAUGUCUCAAUAAAUGCACCGAUCCUGUUACCAUAAUGAAGGAGUUACACUGUUUAUCUCAAAAUGAGUAGGACGUACCUGAAUUAUCAGGUGAGCCUGUGUGAGUUUCUCAUUUCCAAAUGUCAGGGUUCUUCCAGUAUGACUAAAUACAGUGUUUCAUUUCCUAACAGCUACUGCUGUAAUUUGAUGUUCUGUAGCAUCUGAGAGCUCAGUAGUAAACAGAUGUGAUUCACUUAUUUUGUCAUGUGCUGUGGGACUUUAUCACACAGUCCUGACAUACGUGGUGCGUGGAACAGAACUUUGUUACAACCUGGAAGCACCAAUCGCCCGUUAAGUAACCCUAUGCAAAAGCAUAUGAAGUAUAAACUUUUGUUGAAUUGGAAAUGAUGUUUUUAAAUAACAGCAUCAUUUUUGGUCAUAGUUGUGCUUUAUUUUGCUAUGCCAUCACCUCCACCCCACUCCCACUUUCUUGCUUUCGCUGUGUGAAUCACUUGUCUGCAUGUAAUUAGAGUCAGAUGUGAAUAUGGACGUAGUAUCAUGUGGAAUUACACUGUUAGCUCCUGUUCACUACCUGUAUUGAGUUGUAAUGGAGGAGGAGGAACAGCACGUAGGCACUGGAAGACAGUGAGCCAAAAGUCAGAGAGAAGUGAGAGGGCUUCAUGAAGCAGUGUUUAGAUUUUAAAAAGGAUUAUUUGUAGCAUGACCACCAAUCUAUGGGAACACGUAUCUUCUUCAUUUCUAGUAAAGAUAUAGAAUAAAUGAAAGUGCAUUUUUGGAAGAAUUUCUUUAUGAAAAUAAAGCUAAUUAAGUUGUGCAGAUCAAUAAACAUGGUAAAAUAGAAAUGUAAAAUACUUUUAUAAUCAUAUAGCAAUAACUAAAUCAUCACUUAACUAAGCAUGAGAUAAAAUGUUGUAUAAACUGAUGCACAUGCAGUAGGAUAAAGUUUUGUAUCAGCCCUAGUGAAAAGUUCAUUUGGAACAUGCUAGUAUAAACAGACAUCUGUCACGAAACAAGCUAACUGUGCUUUAGCUGCUGCACUUCAGUUUUUAUGAAGUGAUGAUACAUUGAUCGUGGAGAUCUGCACUUAAUAAUCUGGCCUUUAUGUAGGUGUUUCCAUAGGAGAUAGUAUUCCUUUUGGCUGGUAGUAUUUUGAGUGUUGUAUUCCUAAAUGAGGGAUUCUUAGAACAUCAGUUUUACUACAUAAAAAAUUUCAGUAUGUCUUGGUUAUGUCUGAAUUUUCACCUUGAAGGAGGUGGGUUAAGCUAAAUCAAAUAUAUAUUUGUAGUUAGUUAGGGCCAUGAAACUUUAUUCGUUUUUGUUGUUGUUAUUGUUUAUUUUCUAAAAAGUAAAUUUUCUCAUUUCUUCCAGCAGCCUUUUAUGGUUUAAUAGCAUUCUCUGUAUAUAUAGAUUGUGUUUAUCUGUCUAUAUCCAGCCAUCCAUUGCUGAGCACAUUCUGAGUUUUGUGUCCUGAGAAAUGCGCCGUUAGGUGAUUUUGUUAUUGUGCGAAUAUCAUAGAGUAAACUCCAACCAAGAUAGCCUGCCACUACCAGGUGAUGGAAUCUUGUGAGCUAUGCCUUAUAUACCAGGCCGAGCAUUGACUAGAAUCUCUUCCUGUAGUGU